rnacentral:lncRNA from 1 species
UUGUGGUUAUUGUUUCAGCCACAAAAUGAACUUUGCCUUUAAAUGUGUCAACAUAAAUGAAAAUAUUAUGGUAACAAAAUGAUGAAUAUAUGUCAUGAUAUUAUAUAUGUGUAUAGAAAGUUCAUAAAAGAGACCAAAUAAACUUAGACUGUAACACCUCUAACCCUUAUCUGUCGCCGGAACAGGGUUACAGAGCAUUAUCGAACUUUUCGGAUCAAAUAUGAACAUCACAUAUCAUUUAGUAUACUUAUAAUAAAUUAAUCAUAUUUUUUCUUUUAUAAGCGCUCGAG